CAACCAUAUCACGUCCAAAACACCAGUUCCAUUAUGAUCACCGAAGUUAAGACACGUUGAGUCUGGCCAGUACCUAGAUGGGUGACAGCUGAGGAAUACCAG